rnacentral:misc_RNA from 1 species
AACGCACGAGACCUGCGGACCUGCGGAGGGAUCAUUAAUGAGAAGCUGCCCCUCGUGGGUAGACCUCCCACCCUCUGUGAACUUACCCUUGUUGCUUUGGCAGGCCCGUCCUCUGGACCGCCGGCUUCGGCUGGCCCGUGCCUGCCAGAGGAUUCCAAACCCUGUCUGUCAGUGUUGUCUGAGUCUAUAUGAAAUCGUUAAAACUUUCAACAACGGAUCUCUAGAUCGGAAGAGCACACG